rnacentral:rRNA from 1 species
AUUUCCGUUGAUCCUGCGGAGGGCUGCUGCUAUUGGGUUUCGAUUUAACCAUGCAAGUCAAGGGGUCUUUUCGGAGACACCGGCGGAAUGCUCAGUAACACGUCGAUAAUCUGUCCUUAGGUUCAGGAUAGCCAUGGGAAACUGUGAGUAAACCUGGAUAUGGGAAAAUGGCUGGAAUGCCUUUUCCUUUAAAGGCAACGCCUAAGGGUGAGUCGGCGGCUGAUUAGGUUGUUGGCGGGGUAAAGGCCCACCAAGCCAAAGAUCAGUAGGGGCCUUGAGAGAGGGAGCCCCGAGAAGGGAACUGAGACACUGUCCCUAGCCCUACGGGGUGCAGCAGGUGCGAAACCUUUACACUGUACGAAAGUACGAUAAGGGAAACCCAAGUGCUUAUGCUUUGCAUAGGCUUUUGCCAAGAGUAAAUAUCUUGGCGAAUAAGUGGUGGGCAAGACGGGUGCCAGCCGCCGCGGUAACACCCGCGCCACAAGUAGGAGCCUCGUUUAUUGGGCCUAAAGCGUCCGUAGCUGGUUUAAUAAAUUUUCUGUGAAAUCGUUGGGCUUAACUUAACGGCGUGCAGGAAACACUAUUAAACUUGGAACCGGGAGGGGUCUGGAGAACUCCGGGGGGAGCGGUUAAAUGCUAUAAUCCUCGGAAGACUACCUGUGGCGAAGGCGCCAGACUAGAACGGAUUCGACAGUGAGGGACGAAAGCCAGGGGAGCGAACCGGAUUAGAUAUUGAGACUUCCGUCUCAAAAUUAGUUUCGUUUGUUCGUAACGAACACUACUAAACGAAAUUAAAAUAUCGGAAGUAUUAAACUCAACUAAUUACCCGAGUAGUCCUGGCCGUAAACGCUGCGAGCUAGGCGUUGCAGAAUCCUCGAGAUUCUGCAGUGUCGAAGUGAAGACGUUAAGCUCGCCGCCUGGGGAGUACGGUCGCAAGGCUGAAACUUAAAGGAAUUGGCGGGGGAGCACUACAACGAGUGGAGCGUGCGGUUCAAUCUAAUUCUACACUGAGAAUCUCACCAGAAGCGACUGCAGGAUGAAAGUCAGAUUGAAGGUCUUACUUGACGAGCAGAGAGGUAGUGCAUGGCCGCCGUCAGCUCGUGCUGUAAAGUGUCCUCUUAAGUGAGGCAACGAGCGAGACCCACAUCUACACUUGCUAACAACUUCUUUAGAAGGAUUGAGCACACUGUGGAAACUGCCCGGGAAACUGGGAGGAAGGCGUGGGCAACGGUAGGUCUGUAUGCUCCGAAUCUUCUGGGCUACACGCGCGCAACAAUGGUGGGAACAAUGGGAUACAACUCCGAAAGGAGAAGUUAAUCCUCGAAAUCCUAUCCUAGUCCUGAUUGAGGGUUGUAACUCACCCUCAUGAUGCUGGAAUUCGUAGUAAUCGGGUGUUAUCAGCGCCCGGUGAAUAUGUCCCUGCUCCUUGCACACACCGCCCGUCAUUCCAUCCGAGCCGGGUUUUGGUGAGGCUCAUUCAAUUUGGGUGAGUCGAACCUAAGCUCAGUGAGGCGGGGCAAGUCGUCACAAGGUAGCCGUAGGGGAACCUGCGGCUGGAUCACCUCCU